UACGUAGGGGGCUAGCGUUGUCCGGAAUCAUUGGGCGUAAAGCGCGUGUAGGCGGCCCGGUAAGUCCGCUGUGAAAGUCCAGGGCUCAACCCUGGGAUGCCGGUGGAUACUGUCGGGCUCGAGUCCGGAAGAGGCGAGUGGAAUUCCUGGUGUAGCGGUGAAAUGCGCAGAUAUUGUGAGGAACACUAGUGGCGAAGGCGAAUCCCUGGACAGUUCCUGACGCUGAGGCACGAAGGCCAGGGGAGCAAACGGG
rnacentral:rRNA from 1 species